rnacentral:rRNA from 1 species
UCGAGCGGUAGAGAGGAGCUUGCUCCUCUUGAGAGCGGCGGACGGGUGAGUAAUGCCUAGGAAUCUGCCUGGUAGUGGGGGAUAACGUUCGGAAACGGACGCUAAUACCGCAUACGUCCUACGGGAGAAAGCAGGGGACCUUCGGGCCUUGCGCUAUCAGAUGAGCCUAGGUCGGAUUAGCUAGUUGGUGGGGUAAUGGCUCACCAAGGCGACGAUCCGUAACUGGUCUGAGAGGAUGAUCAGUCACACUGGAACUGAGACACGGUCCAGACUCCUACGGGAGGCAGCAGUGGGGAAUAUUGGACAAUGGGCGAAAGCCUGAUCCAGCCAUGCCGCGUGUGUGAAGAAGGUCUUCGGAUUGUAAAGCACUUUAAGUUGGGAGGAAGGGCAGUAAAUUAAUACUUUGCUGUUUUGACGUUACCGACAGAAUAAGCACCGGCUAACUCUGUGCCAGCAGCCGCGGUAAU